AUGGGUGGGUUAGGACUGCCGAAUUUUCUGCAUUAUUACUGGGCAGCGAAUGCUAGAGCCCUGGUUUAUUGGCAGGAAGGAUAUAAUAUGGAGGUAUCUGCCGAGACUCCCCCAUGGGUUGCCAUUGAAAUGAGUGAUGUCAAAAAUAGCUCUCUUCCAGCACUUCUUUUCUCAACACCCAGACCUCCUGCAACUGUUAAGAUGGAUAAUAUGAUUAUCUUUAAUUGCUUAAAAAUAUGGCAGCAAAUUAGGAAAGACUGCCGACUACCAGGCACUUCUAUCCAUGCUCCGGUAUAUCGCAAUCAUGCAUUCUCUCCAUCCCUCUCGGACGGGUCUUUUAACAGUUGGAGGCUAAAGGGUGUGGUCACUUUGAAAGACCUGUAUGUUAAUAAAAAGUUUGCCACAUUUGCACAGUUACAAAAUAAGUUUUCUCUUCCCGCAACACAUUUUUUCAGAUAUUUGCAGAUUAGGAAUUAUGUUCGUCAAUGUGUGCCUAACUUUGAGUCUCUUCCGGAAGAUAAAAGGAUCUAUAAGCUUUUGUUGGGCCCACUUGAUUCUAGAAAAUUGGUCUCUGGCUUUGUAAAUAUAUUCUCUGAACGAACAGUUUAUGCUACACACUUUUUGAAAAACUCCUGGGAGGAGGAGCUGGGAAUGCAGAUUGGCGAUGAUGUUUGGAGGGAGGGUCUUGCUAGGAUCCGAUCUUGUUCUAUUAGCACCAGACAUCAGUUAAUCCAAUUUAAGGUGAUGCACAGGCUUCACUACUCAAAGACCAAAUUGCACAGAAUUUUUCCCACCAUUUCAUCACUUUGUGACCGAUGUAAAUCUGCAGAGGGCUCCCUGACUCAUAUCUUUUGGACAUGCCCGAAACUGAAUAAUUUUUGGUGUAGCAUAUUUAAGUGGUUCUCUGACAUGUACAGCUGUAUAUUUGAACCUGACCCAAUGAUUGCAUUGUUUGGGGUUUCUCCUUCUUUACUUAAUCACAGAGUUUCGAUGCAAAGCACAAUUAUGUAUGGAAUGGUAGUUGCAAAGAAAAUGAUUUUAAAACUUUGGAAGUCAGAUACUGCGCCUCAUUUUAGGAUCUGGUUAAGUGAGCUUAUUGGUAUAUUGCAUAUGGAGAAGGUCCGUUAUGGCAUGAUGGACAAUCUUAAUAAAUUUUCAGAUAUUUGGGAGCCAUUUUUGGCUCACCUUGACAAAUAUAACACUGAGUUGGAGCAGCAAGGGAGUUCAUAG
rnacentral:lncRNA from 1 species